GUAAGAGCUUGCUCUUAUGGGUGGCGAGUGGCGGACGGGUGAGGAAUACAUCGGAAUCUACUCUUUCGUGGGGGAUAACGUAGGGAAACUUACGCUAAUACCGCAUACGACCUACGGGUGAAAGCAGGGGACCUUCGGGCCUUGCGCGAUUGAAUGAGCCGAUGUCGGAUUAGCUAGUUGGCGGGGUAAAGGCCCACCAAGGCGACGAUCCGUAGCUGGUCUGAGAGGAUGAUCAGCCACACUGGAACUGAGACACGGUCCAGACUCCUACGGGAGGCAGCAGUGGGGAAUAUUGGACAAUGGGCGCAAGCCUGAUCCAGCCAUACCGCGUGGGUGAAGAAGGCCUUCGGGUUGUAAAGCCCUUUUGUUGGGAAAGAAAUCCAGCCGGCUAAUACCUGGUUGGGAUGACGGUACCCAAAGAAUAAGCACCGGCUAACUUCGUGCCAGCAGCCGCGGUAAUACGAAGGGUGCAAGCGUUACUCGGAAUUACUGGGCGUAAAGCGUGCGUAGGUGGUCGUUUAAGUCUGUUGUGAAAGCCCUGGGCUCAACCUGGGAACUGCAGUGGAAACUGGACGACUAGAGUGUGGUAGAGGGUAGCGGAAUUCCUGGUGUAGCAGUGAAAUGCGUAGAGAUCAGGAGGAACAUCCAUGGCGAAGGCAGCUACCUGGACCAACACUGACACUGAGGCACGAAAGCGUGGGGAGCAAACAGG
rnacentral:rRNA from 1 species